rnacentral:tRNA from 1 species
GCGGGGGUCGCCAAGCCUGGUCAAAUCAGCUCAGCGGAUGCUGAGCAAGACUAGCGGCGCAGGGUUCAGGCCCCUGUCCCGAAGGGGUUCGUGGGUUCAAAUCCCACCCCCCGCA